UACGUAGGGUGCGAGCGUUAAUCGGAAUUACUGGGCGUAAAGCGUGCGCAGGCGGUUUUGUAAGCCAGAUGUGAAAUCCCCGGGCUCAACCUGGGAACUGCGUUUGUGACUGCAAGACUCGAGUGCGGCAGAGGGGGGUGGAAUUCCACGUGUAGCAGUGAAAUGCGUAGAGAUGUGGAGGAACACCGAUGGCGAAGGCAGCCCCCUGGGUCGACACUGACGCUCAUGCACGAAAGCGUGGGGAGCAAACAGG
rnacentral:rRNA from 1 species